CCUACGGGAGGCAGCAGUGAGGAAUAUUGGUCAAUGGGCGCGAGCCUGAACCAGCCAAGUCGCGUGAGGGAUGACGGUCCUACGGAUUGUAAACCUCUUUUGCCGGGGAGCAAGCGUGCGUUCGUGAACGCGCGUCGAUAGUACCCGGAUAAAAAGCAUCGGCUCAGUCCGUGCCAGCAGCCGCGGUAAUACGGAGGAUGCGGGCGUUAUCCGUAUGUAUUGGGUUAAAAGGGUGCGUAGGCGGGAUGCAAUGUCAGCGGUAAAAAUGCGGUGCUCAACGCCGUCGAGCCGUUGAUACUGGCGUUCUUGAGUGGGCGAGAAGUAUGCGGAAUGCGUGGUGGAGCGGUGAAAUGCAUAGAUAUCACGCAGAACUCCGAUUGCGAAGGCAGCAUACCGGCGCCCUACUGACGCUGAGGCACGAAAGCGUGGGUAUCGAACAGGAUUAGAUACCCGGGUAGUC
rnacentral:rRNA from 1 species